AUGCAGCAAAUCUACAUGCAAAGCAAUGAACACUUUGAAGUCUUCACCACAGUCCUCUCUCCUCAGAUGUGCAGAGCAAGAAGACGACAGAGCCAGGAAGAGGGUGACAAGGCUGUUGUCAUGCGAACAUAUCAAGCUCACUGGCCGGAUGAGAUCGAUGUUUCACCAGGGGAAAUAGUGCACGUGUUCGUGAGAGAUGAGGCUUGGUGCUACGGUCGACUGCAGAAUGGCAUGAUAGGAUAUUUCCCAACUGUGUGCCUUGUCCCACCACCUCAGAGUGUUAACAAAGUGAAGUCCAACCCAAGUUUGUUGCGACAAGCCUCCAUGCAGGAAAGCUCUGAUCCUCCCUGUGGCUGCACCGGGGGGCGUUCUUUGAGGCUGCCACGGCGAGCAAUGUCGCUCUCAAACCCGUCAGGGUGCCCCGCCUCCCCAGGCUUACUACAGCGCAUGCUCAAGGCAAGGCGUCGUAGCCAUGGCAACGCACACUUCAGUGGCUCUGAAAACACUGCCUUUUCUCCCGACUGAGCGGCAGUGGGAAUAGUUGCGUUGGGUUUUUUUUCCUCCAAUUUCCUGCAGUUCUCAGGUGAAUGUUAAUAUAACUGAAAGCCUUGAAAACAAGCAAGUGGGAUUUGUGGCAUCACGUGAGUGGCAUGAUGGGAAAAUCUGUACAAUAGGGACAAAGAGGUGGGCAUGAUGCUGACAUCAUGAUGAUCAUGUUUUGAGAACAUUUGAGAACAUUUUACAUGCAGUGUUUUUCAAAUAAGUGUAAUUACAUGUUAAUGCAAAUCAUUCCAUAAAAUGCAUCACAAAUACAAAUCAAUCAUUCAGUCAGACAUAAUUUAUACAGCUCCUUUCAUGAAGUUUGCAAAAAGGGAGAGAAGAGGGGGGAAAGUAAGGAGGGCAAUUAUGAAAAUGUAUACAAAGUCAAAAAGAAUUCAUUUUGAAUCAAAUAGAUAAAAUAGGAAGUGAAACUUUUAAGUGAAACUGCUAAGUUAAAGUGGUAUGUAUAUGUAAGGUUCCUUUUAAAUGUGAUGCUCUGGCAGGCUGUUGUCUACAUGACCUGAGGACCUGAGUGACCUAGAUGGUGUAUUCAUCUGUUUGUCCAUUGACAAUGUAAAAUUGCUAUCACAAUAGAAGGUUUUGUUGUCAUUUUGUCAGUUGGAUGCUAUCAUUUUAAGCUUUAUUCACAAUAAAUUACAUUUCAGUGGUAAAGGUUGUGGUAAA
rnacentral:lncRNA from 1 species